GUGGGGAAUAUUGGGCAAUGGGCGAAAGCCUGACCCAGCAACGCCGCGUGAAGGAAGAAGGUUUUCGGAUUGUAAACUUCUGUCCUCAGGGAAGAAGAAAGUGACGGUACCUGAGGAGGAAGCCCCGGCUAACUACGUGCCAGCAGCCGCGGUAAUACGUAGGGGGCGAGCGUUGUCCGGAAUGACUGGGCGUAAAGGGCGCGUAGACGGCUGUCUAAGUCUGGAGUGAAAGUCCUGCUUUCAAGGUGGGAAUUGCUUUGGAGACUGGAUGGCUUGAGUGCGGAAGAGGUAAGUGGAAUUCCCGGUGUAGCGGUGAAAUGCGUAGAGAUUGGGAGGAACACCAGUGGCGAAGGCGACUUACUGGGCCGUAACUGACGCUGAGGCGCGAAAGCGUGGGGAGCGAACAGGAUUAGAUACCCUAGUAGUCC
rnacentral:rRNA from 1 species